UAGGCGCGUUCGCUCGGCCGCGCGCUCGCCUUUUCUUUUUGCGCCCCCUUUUCCCCCGUCCCUCUUCCUCUGGCCGCUAAUACGCAGGCUAUUUGGGGCUCGUCACGCUAGGCGGCGCUUGGAAGGUAGAAGUAGACCAUUGAGCCCUCCGCUUGACCUGACUUGAAUAUCAUAUUUCUAGCGCCUCUUUGCGAGAAGCCGUUAGCUAGUUAGUUCAUGCUAACCUAUUAAGGAAUGCGACCAGUUUCUUUGCUGUUGAAUUUAGCUUGUGUUUUGAUCCUUGUUGAUGUUUGUGGAUGUUUUGAGCGCUGCGCGAAGAUUGAUGAUUGCACUUGCAGAACAGAGAAAGGAGAUAUCAACCUUAGGAGAGUUUCAAGGCUUAGUGCAGUUGGUUCAAUCCCGACCCUACAGUACACAUGGAGUCCUUGUGUACCAUGGACUCUGAAUCAAACCAUGGAAAACAACCAGUGUGUAAACGUAUCUAUGUGCCGAGUGGAUAGGAGUCCAUUUGGAAUGCUGGAGAUGAAUAUCGGUGAGCACCAAACCAUGCAGUGUUCAGUUGACAGAACCACCGGUCUCUGCCUCAUCCAGUAUGGAGUAAGAAAUAAUCCCAGCACACCAUCCUAUACUACAAAUGUGCUUGUCCUGGGAAAUGUCCACUGAAAAGCAACGGACUAAGAGUUUGGCUUAUCAUAGUAAUUGUGGUGGCAGGUUUUAUUGCUUUAUACUUCAUUUGUGGAAUAGCAUUCAACAAAUUUGUAAGAGGAAAACAAGGAAAGAAGGUUUUCCCUCAUUGGUCAUUUUGGGUUUGGUUGGUCAACCAAACCAAGAAUUGCUGCACCCAUCUGUUCUGCUGCUGCUUAGCAAAAGGUCAUGACUAUGAGAGGAUUUAAUCUUGGAAAUAGAGUAUUUCAAUACUGUACACCAUAGGAGAUUAAAAAUUAAAACUGAAGACAUGUAUGUCAACUCCAUUUCUCAAACAUUACUUCUAAUCAUCUUUGAGUAAUACUUUUAGGGAGGGAGCUUCAGCCUUGGUCUUUAUGGGUACUGUAUUUACUUCAUCAUACCCUAUCAAAUAUUAUUCAGAAAUCAAGAUCAAUCCAAAUCCUCUGGUAUUGCUGAAUAAACACUACAAAACCUAAGACUUUAUUAGGAAAAUAAGUCACAAUUUUCACAAAUUAUGUUAACAAAAAGUGACAAGUGUUUUAUGUAUUGAAUUCUGUUUGUGACUUGUGUUUCUCUCAACAUUUUCCACCGUAUGCAAAGAUAGUAUUAUUUGUGGCUAUCUCAGUGUCUUUUGAGUCUGUUAAAACUCAGCUGCACAUGAGACAAGGGAUGGAGCUAGAACACCUCUUUCCUUAAGAGUGUGUCAUCAAGGCCCGUUUUUCAGUAUGUGACGUAAAAAAUGCAUCAACCAUACAAAGAUAAUACAAUACAUUUCUCUCAAACAGUAUGUAUUUCUGUAGCCAUAAACUCACCUUUACUGUACAAUACAAAAAUCAUUAUAAAAUCUAGCAUAUGGCAUAAAAGGAUAGAAAAUAGAUGCACUUACAUUGGCUAAUUUCUAUCUUAUACUAUAACACCUUUAUUUCUACAUGGUAGAUACCCAAGAUAUUGGUUUUGAAAAAGUAACAAAAUUUUGUCAGACAAUACAGUUCAUCAUUGCCAUUUAAAGUUUUCCGUAACUUUUGAACAAUGAAUCAACUGUAGAAUGGUAUAGAUUAGGUAAAAAUGUACUGUCCAAAUGUUCAAUUCAUAUCCUAUAUACAUAGUGUGCAUACUCUUAAAAAAGGUAUCAUUUGCAGCCAAAGUUUUAGAGAAUUGGGAUUUAAUAAAAUACCCAAGUGCUGUCUUAUGAAAAAGUAUAUAAACCACAAUGCAAUGUGUAAUUCACUAGAUAUAAAAAUAUUAUAAUUAGGAAAUGGGAUGCAAAGAAAAAAAACACUCUACACUGCACAGCAGUGACAAGAGCUGUCUUAAAUUUAGAAAAAGAAUUCCAGGUGUUACACUUCUCCCCAAUUUUGAAAAAUAUUUCAAUUCUUUCAACCUCCCAUAUAAUCCCCAAUUUGUCAGAAGCUCAUUAAAAAUAUAUAAUCAUAUGGCAAAGGCAAAAACUGAGGAUGCAGCGACCAGCAUUACCAGUACCAUAGGCAGACCCAGGGGGUGGGGCCAUAUCCCCCCUAUUCUCAGAAAUUUUACUGAAAAAUAUGAAGAAAAAUAAGGAUUCACAGAAGAACUACAAACCUUGCCCCCUUAAAAUCUUUUCUUUGGCCCAUUCUUAUUGACACUCCUGAAUCUGCCUCUUAAUACAUUGCUUGACUUAAUAAUCAAGUAAGCCCCCAAGAAUGCCUUAUAAAAACUCCUUGUCUCUGAAUUGCAUAAUUUGUACAGUGAUAUAUAAGUAUAAAAAUAUAAGCCAGAUAUUUAUCUAUCUAGCAGAGUAUUUCUCUGUAAGAAGUUUAGGAGUGACUAGCUAAGGUGAGACCUGUAUGGAUUCAUGUUGGUUGAUCGUAAAUGGGCACAAACAUCGUCCACUGCUACUUCAUGCAUUUCCUCUAGAAAUGGAAUGAGUUCCAAUAACUCACAGUCAUUUGGGUCAUCGAACCAGGACGUUACAGGGAUCUGAAAGAUGCACAAGAGCCAAGUCAAAGCCUGCAAUGAUAUAAACUUAUUUACCUACAUGUCAAGAGCCAUGCAAAAGAGCAAAGUCAAAGCAUGCAAUGAUCUAAACUUAUUUAGCUACAUGACAACAAUUUAUCAAAAAUUGUAAAACAGUGGAAAUGGGAUGAAAAAAGCAUCACUUUUAUACAUGGGGUAUGGAUUGUAUGGUUUCUUGGCAGAGAUUUCUAUAGGGACUAAAUUUGGCAAAUUUCUUACUGUUUUCAAGACAGCUCCCUAUUUUGAAGGUUCUCCUUAGACAUGUUUCAAAAUUAGGAGCUCUUCUCACCUAUAAUACUGCUAUUUGAUAAUUUCUGCAUGACAAACUGCUGCUAAAUCACUUAACAUGAUCUUGUUUUCACUUACAGCAUUUUCUGGAUGAAAACUGUAUGAUGCUGGAGAAUUAUCCAAUAUAAGGACCUUUUUUAAAUCUCUUCCCAACUUGCUUAGGUCCUGCAAAUACAAAAUCAAGAUACCAUUUGAGAUUAAAUAAGAAAAGAAGAAACCAAGCAACCUAAGAAGUGGAAUGUCUCCCUCACAACUGUUCUGGACUUGCUGUACUACUGUAGACUGUGCUUCAGUCCAAAAUAGCUGAAAGGGAGACUAAGUAGGAGGGUAGAGGUAGACAGAGGUCCUACAGAGCCCAAAAUUUUCUUCUCGCCCCCCCUCCUCCCCCCCAAAAAAAACAUACCCUGACUUAAAUUCUAUAUAUUAUAGCUUGAUGCUAAGAUACUUUAAAGGAAAACAUCAGACACACAGAGUUAUGUCACUGUUAUAAGUAAAGGCACAACAGACCCAUGUUGCUUUGAAGCUUAGGGGGAAAUCUGAUUUCGAUAGGCAGUAGAUAAUCCUUACCUUGACAUAAUUUCCCCUGUGGAAAACACAUGAUUCUCGAAAUAACCUUGCCCUAAAUGUGUUAUACUUGUCCAGCAAAUCAGCAACAGGGUCUGCAUACUGGGAAUCAUAAAAAUGAUUUUUUUUUUGCAAAUAUUCAUCAAGCAGAGAGCAAAUUAAGAGUACAACAGCCAUUUUAAACACAAUGUCACCUUUGCUAAACUUGCUGUGAAAAGCACACAUUCAUAUAUCUGCCCUACUCUCUUUAGAAACUCAUCCACAUGCGGUCUUUUGAGGACAUAAACCUGUAAUAGAAUAACAAAACUUUUCAGUAGGUAAACUACUAUGACAUCUGGACUUGACUUUGGAUUAACCUUAGUUUUAGAUAAGGUUGGUCUAAAAAUAGAGCUAUUUGAUUGGCAAAUUUGGAAACCUACUGCUGAGAAACCUGAUAUUCCAACUUGAACUUUUAGCUGGUUUAUAGAGAGAAAUAAUGAAUGGAUGCCAUAUCUAGCUAGAAUUUAGGCAAUAUGAGAACAAAGUCCCCAUUCCAGAACAUAUCUUCUUUUUAGGACCAUCAAGGUGGUAAAAUUAAAUUCAUAACUUCAAAUUUAGAAAAACAAUUAGCCUCCAAUGUAACCUCAGAUUUGUCACAAUAAUGCACAAAUGUACAAUAAUGUACACCUCAUUCCCUAUUUAAUUCAUGUAUAAUUUUUAUAUGGCUUUAUUUGUGUAACAUAAAACUCUCUGUGAGGUAAAAUCAGUUGUAAUAUCUUAGGUACUUUCCCUUGCAGAAAGGGAUAAAUCUCUUGUUGCCAUA